CCUCUCUCAGGGUUGCACCUGAAGAGUAUCCAAUACUCUACCAGGCUCGACUAUGGGAGGGACAGUCAAGCAGAGCCAUAUCCAUUCCAUUCCUAGCUUGGGCAGGGCCUAGCAAGUGGAAGGCAAUCUGCAACAAAU